rnacentral:SRP_RNA from 1 species
ACCGGGUGCGGUGGCGCGUGCCUGUAAUCCAAGCUACCGGGAGGUUGAGGCUGGCGGAUCGUUUGAGCUCAGGAGUUCUGAGCUGCAGCGGACUAUGUCGAUCUGGUGUCCGCACUAAGCUCGGUAUCGAUAUGGUGCUCCUGGGGGAGCCCGGGACCUCUAGGUCGCCUAAGGAGGGGUGCAUCGGCCCAGGUCGGUAACGGAGCAGGUCAAAGCCCCCGUGCCGCUCAGUAGUGGGAUCGCGCCCGUGAAUAGACGUUGUAGUGCAGCCUGAGUAAUACAGCGGGACUCAGUCUUUU